GAUGAACGCUGGCGGCGUGCCUAAUACAUGCAAGUCGAGCGAACAGAUGAUGAUCUUGCUCCUCUGACGUUAGCGGCUGACGGGUGAGUAACACGUGGAUAACCUACCUUUAACACUGGUAUAACUUCGGGAAACCGUUGCUAAUACCGUAUAAUUUAUUGCACCGCAUGGUUCAAUAGUCCUAGACGUUUUUUCUGUCCCUUUUAGAUUGUUCCGCGCCGCUUUAGCUAGUUGGUAACGUAUAGGCUUACCAAGGCAACGAGUCGUAUCCGACCUGAGAGGGUGAUGGGCCACACUGUAAUGGAGACACGGUCAAGAGUCCUAGGGGAGGGAGUAGAAGGGAAUGAUACGCAAGGGAAGGAAGUAUGACGGAGCAAAGCCGAGUGAGUGAAGAAGAUCUAAGGAUCGUAAAAAUAUGUUAUUGGGGAAGAAGAAAUGUGAAAGUAAAUAAGAAAAAAAUGACGGUACCAAAGAAGAAAGCCCCGGCUAACUACGUG
rnacentral:rRNA from 1 species